rnacentral:lncRNA from 1 species
GCAGCCCCGGCCGGGCCGCCCGGGUCCCCGGCAGCGGGGUAGGAUGGCGCUAAAGCGGAUCCAGAAGGCUGUACAAGAAGCAUGGUGCCAGCAUCUGCUUCUGGUGAGGCCUCAGGAAGCUUACAAUCAUGGCAGAAAGCAAAGGAGAAGCAGGCGUGUCACCUGGAAUUAACCGACUUGCAGAGGGAUCCUCCUGCCCAGUGUUCUGCAGGACCUGUCGGUGAUGACUGUUGCUUUCACAACCAAAAUUUAUCACCCUAAUAUCAACAGCAAUGGCAGCAUCUGCCU